rnacentral:misc_RNA from 1 species
GAAAUGCGAUACCUGGUGUGAAUUGCAGAAUCCCGCGAACCAUCGAGUCUUUGAACGCAAGUUGCGCCCGAGGCCAUUCGGCCGAGGGCACGCCUGCCUGGGCGUCACGCAAAACACGCUCCCACCCCCUCAUCGGGGAGCGGGACGCGGCAUGUGGCCCCCCGUCGCUCAAGGGGCGGUGGGCCGAAGAUAUGGCUGCCGGUGUAUCGUGCCGGACACAGCGCGUGGUGGGCGACCUCGCUUUACUUCCGCAGUGCAUCCGACACGUAGCCGACGUGAUUGCCUCGAAGGACCCUAUGAACGGUGCGCACGACGCUCCGACCGCGACCCCAGGUCAGGCGGGACUACCCGCUGAAUUUAA